rnacentral:tRNA from 1 species
AAGUAUCACGCCGGAUGAACGGAUUACUCUGAUGAGGUAAAUCACGGGCUAAACACCCUGAUACUUU